ensembl:lncRNA
CUGAACGACAAGGCGGAACCGUUUCUGUCUGUGUGUACAAAAUGUUUUUCCUUCACCGUUGAUAGUCGAGUCGUGACCGACAAGCGAACUGUGCUUGCAAACUUCCAAGACAGCAGGUACCUCAACCUAGCAGCAGUUAAUGCAUUUCGAAACAAAGAUGUAGCAAAAUGGACUCACACCUGCGUUGCUUUGCUUGUCGGUGGGCGUUGCCUGACGCUUUGCGAUGGCGUUACGUCAUAACAACAACAACCAAUCAGUUGUGUGCUCCGGAAACACGCGGCAUAUGCGGCUAUCAGGUAAAUACGCGGGAAAUACAUCCCACGACCAGAUGCACGCACACCGGAGUAAACAGCUGCCUCCUCUCUCCGCGCUCAUUUGAACGUUUCACGUCAAGGUUCGUGAAGAGCAUUAGCGUGAUUUGAUUGGUUAGCGCCCUGCGCUGGCGCCGUCUGUUCAAACGCGAUGUGAUUGGCUGCCUCCCCGCGCAGCCGUUUGAAAAGUUGAGGCGCGCAUUUAGCGCGAGCGCCGCCUUGUUGUUGUUGUUAGCACCGGUUAGCACCUGGAGCUAGCUAGCUAGCUAGCUAGCUAGCAGCGAGCGAGCUGAGUCACUCUGACAAGACUCGAAGCUUUUCCCAAAGAAAGAGAGUGAAGACGACAGGUGAAGGUGAAACGAGAGGAGAUGGAGUUUUAUCUCCCGUGUGGUUGAAGCAGCAGAGGAGUCAGGACGUGAGCACAAACUCGGGAACAAGGAUCCUUGGCAAUGGCUCAGAGGCAAAAUCCUAUAAUUAGAACACAGUUCACUCGGUUAGCAGGUAAUUUACCUUUAGGGGGAGAAGUCUAAUUAUUGUCUUUGAAAAGCUAAUUUAGCGUCAAACACUUCAGGUGUCUUUUCCCCUCUCUUCAGCAAAUGGAAGGUUUCCUGGAGCACCGGUGCCUCUGAGCCAUCUUUAGCGCCUGGCGCUGUUUCAUGUUUACACGGCUGAUUCCUAAAGACGAAAUUAGGAGCAAUAAGAGCAGAGCAAACCACCGUCUCCCUUUUGUUGGAUCCAGCAGCUGUUCCAGGUUGCCGGUGCCUGUCCACACCACUGUGAUGACGGAGAGAGAAAACAGCCCUGAUGUACGAUUCCUGGUCUGUCACGACAGGCACAGACAGCGGCCACCAAACGCAGUGGACUCCCUGACAGCUCCGUCUGGCUGCUCCAAAUCACACAGACAGGCCUUUUUCCUGCGACGACUGUGGCCAGUUCACAGAAACAGGCAGAAAUCACUCGUCUUCUCCAUUAAUAGCGUUGAAGUGUUGAAACAUCAUCUUGUGCCUCAUCGUUCGCAGGUAGGGUGUCAUGCUUCUCCAAUUAAUUGCUCGCCUGCCAAAUGUAUCUUUGCACAUUAUCUUGUUCUAUCUUUUGAUUGCAUGUGCUUAAUCCUUAUCAUAAUUGGAGUUGCACACUGCCACUGGGCCAGUCAUGUCUCAUACCAAAUUAGGCUUAAAAUUGUUUACUGGAAUUUGGAUGCUGCUCACUUUAGCUAUGAAUUUAAUAUCACAGAAACCAAUUAUGCUAAUAAAG